rnacentral:rRNA from 1 species
UGGGGAAUUUUGGACAAUGGGGGAAACCCUGAUCCAGCCAUCCCGCGUGUGCGAUGAAGGCCUUCGGGUUGUAAAGCACUUUUGGCAGGAAAGAAACGUCAUGGGUUAAUACCCUGUGAAACUGACGGUACCUGCAGAAUAAGCACCGGCUAACUACGUGCCAGCAGCCGCGGUAAUACGUAGGGUGCAAGCGUUAAUCGGAAUUACUGGGCGUAAAGCGUGCGCAGGCGGUUCGGAAAGAAAGAUGUGAAAUCCCAGAGCUCAACUUUGGAACUGCAUUUUUAACUACCGGGCUAGAGUGUGUCAGAGGGAGGUGGAAUUCCGCGUGUGGCAGUGAAAUGCGUAGAUAUGCGGAGGAACACCGAUGGCGAAGGCAGCCUCCUGGGAUAACACUGACGCUCAUGCACGAAAGCGUGGGGAGCAAACAGG